AUUGAGCGCUGGCGGCAGGCCUAACACAUGCAAGUCGAACGGUAGCACAGAGAGCUUGCUCUCGGGUGACGAGUGGCGGACGGGUGAGUAACGUCUGGGAAACUGCCCGAUGGAGGGGGAUAACUACUGGAAACGGUAGCUAAUACCGCAUAACGUCGCAAGACCAAAGUGGGGGACCUUCGGGCCUCACACCAUCGGAUGUGCCCAGAUGGGAUUAGCUAGUAGGUGGGGUAAUGGCUCACCUAGGCGACGAUCCCUAGCUGGUCUGAGAGGAUGACCAGCCACACUGGAACUGAGACACGGCCUAGACUCCUACGGGAGGCAGCAGUGGGGAAUAUUGCACAAUGGGCGCAAGCCUGAUGCAGCCAUGCCGCGUGUAUGAAGAAGGCCUUCGGGUUGUAAAGUACUUUCAGCGGGGAGGAAGGCGGUGAAGUUAAUAGCUUCACCGAUUGACGUUACCCGCAGAAGAAGCACCGGCUAACUCCGUGCCAGCAGCCGCCGUAA
rnacentral:rRNA from 1 species